AAUUUUUUAAUUAAAAAUGACUGAUGAAGGUUUUUCGAAAGGACAAUCGGACAAUUUACCCACCGUGGAUAUGUUUAUGGUUGCAACUUUCAUACAAAAUGCAGAAGGCUUUUCUCUUGGAGAGGUUCGCGGUGUCAAAGCUAGCAAAUAAGGAAGAAAAUCUUACAGAGACUCCGCUAUAGGAUGGGUCCAAGUCAAAAGGUGUGAUUAAAUAUGCACAGUUAAAGCUAAAAUAACACCUGAGCAUAGUGUGAGAAAAAAGCAAUAUGCUGUUAUCUGUACUGUGGAUGAAGAAUUGGAAAAUAUUUUAACUGUUGAAUGUCAUGAUUGUGUUGCUUCUUCGGGUGGAUGUAAGCAUGCCAUUGCUUUUUUAAUGUGGCUUCAUAGAAGGAGCGAAGAACCUUCUUCUAAAUAAAAAAACAUAUUCAGGUGAAUGUUAAGAGACAAUAACAAAUUUAUUGAUUAAAAUUAGUGAUGUGAGAACAAGUAUAUUCUCGUUUUCAUAUCACUAAUUAAAACUGAUUUAGAUUAAAACCUGA